rnacentral:rRNA from 1 species
AAGACGGGUGAGAAUCCCGUCCACCGAUUGACUAAGGUUUCCAGAGGAAGGCUCGUCCGCUCUGGGUUAGUCGGGUCCUAAGCUGAGGCCGACAGGCGUAGGCGAUGGAUAACAGGUUGAUAUUCCUGUACCACCUAGUAUCGUUUUAAUCGAUGGGGGGACGCAGUAGGAUAGGCGAAGCGUGCUGUUGGAGUGCACGUCCAAGCAGUAAGGCUGAGUGUUAGGCAAAUCCGGCACUCAUAAGGCUGAGCUGUGAUGGGGAGAGGAAAUUGUUUCCUCGAGUCGUUGAUUUCACACUGCCGAGAAAAGCCUCUAGAUAGAUAACAGGUGCCCGUACCGCAAACCGACACAGGUAGUCAAGAUGAGAAUUCUAAGGUGAGCGAGCGAACUCUCGUUAAGGAACUCGGCAAAAUGACCCCGUAACUUCGGGAGAAGGGGUGCUCUUUAGGGUUCACGCCCAGAAGAGCCGCAGUGAAUAGGCCCAAGCGACUGUUUAUCAAAAACACAGGUCUCUGCUAAACCGUAAGGUGAUGUAUAGGGGCUGACGCCUGCCCGGUGCUGGAAGGUUAAGAGGAGUGGUUAGCUUCUGCGAAGCUACGAAUCGAAGCCCCAGUAAACGGCGGCCGUAACUAUAACGGUCCUAAGGUAGCGAAAUUCCUUGUCGGGUAAGUUCCGACCCGCACGAAAGGCGUAACGAUUUGGGCACUGUCUCAACGAGAGACUCGGUGAAAUCAUAGUACCUGUGAAGAUGCAGGUUACCCGCGACAGGACGGAAAGACCCCGUGGAGCUUUACUGUAGCCUGAUAUUGAAAUUCGGCACAGCUUGUACAGGAUAGGUAGGAGCCUUUGAAACGUGAGCGCUAGCUUACGUGGAGGCGUUGGUGGGAUACUACCCUAGCUGUGUUGGCUUUCUAACCCGCACCACUUAUCGUGGUGGGAGACAGUGUCAGGCGGGCAGUUUGACUGGGGCGGUCGCCUCCUAAAAGGUAACGGAGGCGCUCAAAGGUUCCCUCAGAAUGGUUGGAAAUCAUUCAUAGAGUGUAAAGGCAUAAGGGAGCUUGACUGCGAGACCUACAAGUCGAGCAGGGUCGAAAGACGGACUUAGUGAUCCGGUGGUUCCGCAUGGAAGGGCCAUCGCUCAACGGAUAAAAGCUACCCCGGGGAUAACAGGCUUAUCUCCCCCAAGAGUUCACAUCGACGGGGAGGUUUGGCACCUCGAUGUCGGCUCAUCGCAUCCUGGGGCUGUAGUCGGUCCCAAGGGUUGGGCUGUUCGCCCAUUAAAGCGGUACGCGAGCUGGGUUCAGAACGUCGUGAGACAGUUCGGUCCCUAUCCGUCGUGGGCGUAGGAAAUUUGAGAGGAGCUGUCCUUAGUACGAGAGGACCGGGAUGGACAUACCUCUGGUGUACCAGUUGUCGUGCCAACGGCAUAGCUGGGUAGCUAUGUAUGGACGGGAUAAGUGCUGAAAGCAUCUAAGCAUGAAGCCCCCCUCAAGAUGAGAUUUCCCAACUUCGGUUAUAAGAUCCCUCGAAGAUGACGAGGUUAAUAGGUUCGAGGUGGAAGCGUGGUGACACGUGGAGCUGACGAAUACUAAUCGAUCGAAGACUUAAUCAAUUUUUUAAA